ACUCCUACGGGAGGCAGCAGUGGGGAAUUUUGGACAAUGGGCGCAAGCCUGAUCCAGCCAUGCCGCGUGCAGGAUGAAGGCCUUCGGGUUGUAAACUGCUUUUGUACGGAACGAAAAGACUCCUUCUAAUAAAGGGGGUCCAUGACGGUACCGUAAGAAUAAGCACCGGCUAACUACGUGCCAGCAGCCGCGGUAAUACGGAGGGUGCAAGCGU
rnacentral:rRNA from 1 species